GACGAACGCUGGCGGCGUGCUUAACACAUGCAAGUCGAACGGAAAGGCCCUGCUUUUGUGGGGUGCUCGAGUGGCGAACGGGUGAGUAGCACGUGAGUAACCUGCCCUUGACUUUGGGAUAACUUCAGGAAACUGGGGCUAAUACCGGAUAGGAGCUCCUGCUGCAUGGUGGGGGUUGGAAGGUUUCGGCGGUUGGGGAUGGACUCGCGGCUUAUCAGCUUGUUGGUGGGGUAGUGGCUUACCAAGGCUUUGACGGGUAGCCGGCCUGAGAGGGUGACCGGCCACAUUGGGACUGAGAUACGGCCCAGGCUCCUACGGGAGGCAGCAGUGGGGAAUAUUGCACAAUGGGCGGAAGCCUGAUGCAGCAACGCCGCGUGCGGGAUGACGGCCUUCGGGUUGUAAACCGCUUUCGCCUGUGACGAAGCGUGAGUGACGGUAAUGGGUAAAGAAGCACCGGCUAACUACGUG
rnacentral:rRNA from 1 species